UAGUUCGAACGAUUAAUUUUCGAAAAAACGAACGUUAUUUAGGGGCUCGCGAAAGUUGACUUUUUAUACGUUCAAAAUUUGGGAAAACUUUCUUCAUGAAAGUUGUAGAGCUCGUCGAUACGAUCGCGUGCAUAUGCGGAACGCAAAAAUCGGAGUUCGUAUGAAUUAGUUAUGAUUUUUUGAAAAAGUUUCCAAUUUAGUAUAAAGCUUCCAUUUUUGGAAAUUUCCAAAAAUAAAAACAGAUUUUUCCAAAAUUGGAAAAUCUGCUGCGAUUUUAGUUCCCCGCCGGAAAUCGCCUCCAAAACUUCGAUCGACGAUUUCUUCCUCCUCCGGCCACCGAUCCUCACCAAACUUCUUCCAUUGGCUUCGUAUGGUCCUUGCGCACCUGUCUGUGGCAGCCUUUCACGGCGGCGCGGCCUGUAGCGGCGGCGGCAAGCCCGGUCCGAUUUAAGCUCGAUUUUGGUCAACGCCGGUUUUCUCCUAGCUCCGGCCACCAAAACUUCCGAUCCUUGGCUUCAUGAACUCCCCUCAACCUGCUGAUCAUCAUACUAGGAGGAUUGCACCUAGAGUGACCGGUUUCACGUUCGUCGGAGCUCGUGGGUUCCCCUUGAUGUUAUUAACAACUCUCUAGAAGGCAUCGAGGCCUGAAAUUGAAGCUUUGACGUCGAAAUCGAGCCUUGCCGGAUUCUGCAAAAUUCUGGAAUUUUUCCGACCACCGAAGCUUUCGAUCGGUAUAUCUCGAGCUACAGGCCAUAUUUUUCUGUGAUUCUUGAACCAGUGAGUUCUUCUUGAGUUUCUUAACAACUCUUCAGAAGGAAUCGAAGCCUUAAAUUGACGUUUUUACGUCGAAUUGGAGCUCGCCGUUUUCUGCAGUUUCUCGCCGGUUUCUGGAAAAUUCCGGCCACCUUCAUACUGUUCAAGGUGAUUGACGGUUUAAGUUGGUGGACGAUUGUGGAUCGUAUUCUGAGCUGUUGAGAAGACGCAGCGGGAUUAGAGCGGGUAAUCCUACAGGACAGGAGAACCAGGACGGUGAUCGUGCGGUUAGAGCAAUUGUUAGAGUUUUACAGCAAUUGUACGUUGUGAGGUGUGUUAUGCUCAUUUGAGCUUUACAAUAUUGCUUGUGAGAGUGAAUUGUAAUAAUGAACUCGAAGUUUCGAGAUUUGGAUUUUGUAAUUGUAAUUAUUCAUGUUUCGGAUUUGAAUUUAUUAUUCAAAAUUCGGGGCGUGACAGUUUGGUAUCAGAGCGUAAGGUACAUAUUUGGUGAUAAUCAAUACUUCCCGAGUGAUGGCCCGUCUGCAGCGGAUCCCCAUCAUAUACUCUUCGGUAUUGGUAUAAUCAUUGGGUAUGUCUUAGUAUGGGGUCUAGACAGCGUGUAUGUCCGUAGGACGGUAGAGUUGCCUUCUAAGUUCGUAUUAGAAUAAGUUUAGUUUCCGCGAGUUGUGAUCUUCGAGGAAUGGAAACCUCCGGAUUUAACUCUGAUGAGUCAGUGAGGAUUGUUUAUGGAAAUGAGUUUCCUUUUGUAUGUAGAAGUGUUUGG